CUUUCCUUUUCGCCUCUCCUCGUUCUCUCCCUCGCCUUUCCUUUCCUUUCUCUUCCUCUCUUCCUCGCUCCUCGGUCUCGGCGCUCUCCCAGCUUUUCUUCUCCUGGCUCCUGGUUCCCCGCUACGCCACCAGUCCACUCACCUCUCUCCUUGCCCUACUCCCUCCGCUACUCCCUGACGCCCCCUGCAGCCCCCAGCCCCCCUGCAGGCCCCAGCCCCAGUAAGUUUGGAGAGGGGAACAAAUGCUGAGCCUAGGUAGGGACCACCUUGGGGAGGAAGCCAAAAUCACACUGCUCACCCGAGAGCCCCUGCCCCGCGCUGGCACGCCCCCGCCUGGAGUGCACUCGUGGCCCCGGGCGCUGUCAGGUACCCGAAUUGGGGCUGCCACCGUGUCGGAGGCGAGGCGAGGAAGGGAGCUGGAAUAACAAAGGUGGCAGCUGAGCAUCCCUGGAGAGGGUGGGUGGUAUGAAAGCACUUCCAGACCUCUAGGGACACCAGGGAGUCAUGGUCCCAGCACAUUGCUGUGUGAUUGAGCCCCUCCUCAGCCUGUGGGUGGCCUAAGUUCACAGGGAGGUAAUGGGGUAGAUUGGAUACCUCUGGGGUCUUGGAAGAAGCUAUGACUUAUUUACUGUCUACUAUGUGAUGGGAAGAUAAGACCCAGAAAACAGAAAGGACAUGUUUAAGGCCAUGCAGCAAGUUAGUGCCUGACCUGAAUAUUGAAGUGAGGCCCUACUACCAUCAGCCAUGGGAACCAUGGCUGGAUGGGUCCCAAGCAAUGAAGACCUUCUGGGUGUCUAGGGGAGAGGUUUGGGCCCUCCUCCAUGUGCGUGUGUGUGUGCGCGUGCAAGUGUGUGUGUCUGGGAAGCCAGAAGAUUACACUCUUCUUUCUAGGCCUUCUAGCCCUUGCUGGAAGGCCUGUAGUGAGUGGAUGGCCUGCCUUACCCUCUGCACAUCCCGCCCUGUUUAUUGAGAUUUCCAUCCAGCCUGAACUCCUGUGGGGAGGUGUUAUCUUCUGGACCAGAGCCCUAUCUGCCAUGAAGCCAUUGUGGUGUCACAGGGGCUUCUGAGAGAUCCCAGGCUGGAGACGGAAAGCAGAAGAUUUGAAGUGGUGGGAGGCAGGGGCUGGUGUCAUAACACACUUUCCACCCCUGGGCUGGGAGGGGCACUCCCUCCUGCUGAACUCUCCCAGGCCAGUGACCUCAUCUUGCUCCUGUGCUUGUUUUCCAAAGGGUGUUGUAAGUUGACUGUCUGCUUUCUUCCACAACACUCAAAGUGUGGCCUGUGGAGCAACAGCUUCAGCCACAGCUGGGAGCUGGUUAGAAGUGCAACAUCUCAGGCCCCACCCUAGAACAUUAACAUCUCUGGAGGUAGGACCCAGGAAUCUGUUUCACAAGUCCUCUUCUGAUGCUUAGAAAAGUUUAAACAUCACUGCUUUACUCUAUUUCUCGACAAAAAGAUGACAUUCAGUUUGGCUAGAAUUAAAAGGGGUGGGUGUUUCCUGGCAGGUUUUAGAAACCUAUUUAAAUGGUUCCAUUGUCCAUUCAUCCAUCCAUCAACCCAUCCAACCAUCCAGCCAGCCAUCCACCCUCUUUUCAUUCAACAGACAUUCAGCUGCACUCGGGAGUUGAAAGGGGAAGGCUCGGGACCCUGGGCUCCUCCAGCUUGCCGUGAGACACCACUGUGUGGCAGAAGAGGUGGCCUCUGUCCCCUUUAUCCUCCAAGUGUACCUGUGGUCUUCAGGCCGGUCACUUGCUUGAAUCUGAGUGUGUGUCUCUGAUCUAUAAUCCUAAAAAAGCUACCUAAUGCAGGUGUCCAAGAGGGAAAGGGGAAGGAAUUGCAUGCACUUGGUGUCUAUUGUGUGCCAGGUGUGUUCACACGUGUUAUGACCUUCCACUCUUCCAGCUGCCCUUCAUACUGGAUAGCAUUAUUCUUAUUUUACAGAGAAGAAUAUUGAGGAUCAAAGAGACCAAGACUGCAAGCGUAAAAACUAAGAUUGGAACCAAAGCCAGUUCUUCUUGAUCCCAGGGUCUGCGCCCUUCUUCUGUUCCAUGUUUCAUUGUUCUUGGUGGACCUGGGGAUCAAUAGCUAGAAGUUAAAGGACAAACUGAUUUGGGAAGUGCUUCCAGUGCUGUCUUGAGUGAUGUCUAGAGAUUAGCAGACUGGCUGUGAAGUGGUGAGCUGCCCAUCACUGGAACCGUGCAAGCAGAGACUGGUCAUGGUGAUCACGGUGUUGGUCCUGUGUGAGUGUGAUGUGGGGAAGAAUUGAGACCAGAUGACCUUUGAGGGCCUUCUGCUGUCUGAGGCGGGCCUGCUUGGGCCUGCUCCCAGGUCAGUGCCCCAUGGAUGGAGCCUCUGAAGCCAGCUGCUCAUUAUCUGUGGAUCCUCUGCGGGGACACUGCCAGCUCCCAAACAGGAAACAUGUCCAGAAAUCUGUAAUUAGAGCUGGGAGCCACAGGCCUGAGAGGUGCCUGCUGCAGCUUCAAGUGCAGACACGCCACCCUGGUUAAGUCCCUGGGAGAGAACCCAGUGAGUCAGGCCCUCAGAUCUUCUCCCUGCCUGUGGCACCCCCGCCCCACCCCAUUCCCCUUGGAAGGAAACCUGCUUUGGCCAGGAACCUACUGGGUGAAUGGGUUUCAUAUACAUUCUCUCCUCUGUUCUUCCCCAGAACCGUGGGAGAGAGGAAACAUCUGCCAUGAUGCAGGCAAGGAAUGCAAAGCUCCCAGACAUCAUGUGGCUCACUCAAGGUCACCCUACUAUGGCCCUUGCCUUUCUGAGUGCCUGGUUUGACCUCUUGAUCCCUCCAGGGGAGAACGUCACAGUCAAAGGAGGGGUGCAAGAGGCCAGUGGCACACAGAGAGGUCUGUGUGGGCCUGAGUGGCUCCUGGGUCUUCCCUGACUGACCAUAACGCCUUUCAGCCUUUCUGAAUCUGCCAUGAAGGGACGGGUCCUUGCAGUGUUCCUCUGCCAGGCUGCCUGGCAACCCAUGGCAAUUGUGGUGGUGUUAAAACAUGGCCACAGGCCAGGCACGGUGGCUCAUGCCUGUAAUUCCAGCACUUUGCAUAGGGUAUGGCAGAAGAGACCCUAAGUGAGUAAAGACCAUGCCCCUGCAAAUUAUACUUUGUUUGCUGGAACACUCACUCUUGGAGCCCUGAGCCACCAUGUAAAGAAGUAGGAAGAUUCACUGUCCUGAAGCUGCCAUGUUGUGAGGAAGCCCAAGCCACAUGGAGGGGCCAUGUCUAGGUGCUCCAGUCAACAGUCCCAGCUGAGCUUAGCCAUCUAACAUCCCCAGCUAUUUUAGUUUUUCCUGAAAUCCCAGAAAUCAUGGAAUAGAGACAAAUCUCUCCUGCUGUGCUCUGUCUGAACUGCUGACCCACAGAAUCUGGGCACAUAAUAAAAUUAUUUUGUGCCAUUAGGUAUAUAGUUGAUUUGUUAUGCAGCCAUAGAUAACCAGGACAGCUAUGCCAGCUAUGAAGUGCCAUGCAGUCAUCUCGGGGGUCCCACUCACAACAUCUCCCCAUACUCCUAGGAAGCUGGCUGGGCUCAACUCUAAGUGCAAAGCAUUGUGCAAAGGGAAGGGCAUGAAACUGGGGGGCCCUGCAUCUCCUGGGGGUUAGAGUACUGAACUUCCUCCACCCACUGCCUUCUCAGAGAUGAGCACCCUACAUCUGGAUCUGCCUCAGGCCCUCUUGUAUAUGACUAAGAAUAUUGGCUUGGUGUGGUGGCUCAUGCCUGUAAUCCCGGUACUUUGGGAGACUGAGGCGGGAGGAUCCUUGAGCCCAGGAGUUUGAGACCAGCCUGGGCAACACAACAAGACCCUAUCUCUAC
rnacentral:lncRNA from 10 species